rnacentral:rRNA from 1 species
UACGGGGGGGGGCAAGCGUUGUUCGGAAUUACUGGGCGUAAAGGGCUCGUAGGCGGCCAACUAAGUCAGACGUGAAAUCCCUCGGCUUAACCGGGGAACUGCGUCUGAUACUGGAUGGCUUGAGUUCGGGAGAGGGAUGCGGAAUUCCAGGUGUAGCGGUGAAAUGCGUAGAUAUCUGGAGGAACACCGGUGGCGAAGGCGGCAUCCUGGACCGACACUGACGCUGAGGAGCGAAAGCCAGGGGAGCAAAGCAGG